CGAGUCGAGUUGUUUGGGAAUGCAGCUCAAAAUGGGUGGUAAAUUUCAUCUAAAGCUAAAUACUGGCUGGAGACCGAUAGCGCACAAGUAGAGUGAUUGAAAGAUGAAAAGCACUUUGGAAAGAGAGUCAAAAAGUACGUGAAAUUGUUGAAAGGGAAGCGCUUGCAACCAGACCUGUCCGUAGGUGAUCAGCCGCUGUUCUCAGCGGUGCACUCGCUCUGCGAUCAGGCCAGCAUCGGUUUCGGCGGCCGGAUAAAGGCCCUGGGAAUGUAGCUUCCUUCGGGGAGUCUUAUAGCCCUCGGUGCAAUGCGGCCAGCCGGGACCGAGGACCGCGCUUCGGCUAGGAUGCUGGCGUAAUGGUUGUAAGCGACCCGUCUUGAAACACGGACCAAGGAGUCUACCAUCUAUGCGAGUGUUUGGGUGUUAAACCCAUGCGCGGAAUGAAAGUGAACGGAGGUGAGAACCCUUUAGGGCGCAUCAUCGACCGAUCCAGAUGUCUUCGGAUGGAUUUGAGUAUGAGCGUAGCUGGUGGGACCCGAAAGGCAUAGGCCCCUAAACCCCCUAGAAUUUAUACCUUUAGCUAACUAAUUCGACAGAUGGUGAACUAUGCUUGAAUAGGGUGAAGCCAGAGGAAACUCUGGUGGAGGCUCGCAGCGGUUCUGACGUGCAAAUCGAUCGUCAAAUUUGAGCAUAGGGGUAAGCGUCGAGACUCCAGCCUC
rnacentral:rRNA from 1 species